GACGAACGCUGGCGGCACGCUUAACACAUGCAAGUCGAACGGUGAAGAGAAGCUUGCUUCUCGGAUCAGUGGCGGACGGGUGAGUAACACGUGAGCAACCUGCCUUUAAGAGGGGGAUAACGUUUGGAAACGAACGCUAAUACCGCAUAACAUAGAAGAUUCGCAUGUUUCUUCUAUCAAAGAUUUAUCGCUUAAAGAUGGGCUCGCGUCUGAUUAGCUGGUUGGUGAGGUAACGGCUCACCAAGGCGACGAUCAGUAGCCGUACUGAGAGGUAGAACGGCCACAUUGGGACUGAGACACGGCCCAGACUCCUACGGGAGGCAGCAGUGGGGAAUAUUGCACAAUGGAGGAAACUCUGAUGCAGCGAUGCCGCGUGAGGGAAGAAGGUUUUCGGAUUGUAAACCUCUGUCUUCAGGGACGAUAAUGACGGUACCUGAGGAGGAA
rnacentral:rRNA from 1 species